GGGCCAGCCCAUUUUCGGAUUUCAUCCCUCGUUUCUGGAUCGUCGCGUCUCUUCAGAUUGUAUAAAAGCCGCUGUAACCAUCGACAAGAGUAAUCGAUCAUUUGAUUCCGAAUACGCUCUAUUCAUUUGAUUUCGGAUACGCUCUAUUCACCUCUUGUCAGAGGCCAUCCCCCGUAUCACUUCCACCACCAUUUAGCCAGGAGAGAGAUUAUCUUUGACUCGAAGCCCCCCUUUUUUCUUGGAUCGACACACCCGACCUCAGCGCCCCAGCGCGAUGAAUAGCUGAUCCCCUUCUCGAUCGGCCGGCGAAGCACGGGCGGUUUGGCCGACACAAUCAAAAUCGCGGGCGGUGGUUCGUUCAUCCUGCACCCACCCACACGCUUACCCAGAUCUCGCGCGCCGCCGCCAGGGCAAUGGUGUCUGAGCCCGACCCCGACCCCGACCCCGACCCCGACGUCUCCCUCCUGCCCCCCCGCUCCGAACCCUAGCCACAAACCCUGCCUCCGGGCAGCCAAGACCACGGCCUUCAAGCGCGAGGAGCGCCACAAGCACAAGGAGCAGAAGCGGGAGCGCAAGGAGCAGCGCAAGGAGCAGAAGCGGGAGCGCCGCUAGCGCAAGGAGGAGAAGCGCGAUCGCCGCAAGCGCAAGGAGGAGAAGCGCGAGCGCCGCAAGCACAAGGAGGAGAAGCGCGAGCGCAAGCGGCAGCGGAAGCGGGAGGACACCCUCGCCCUCGCGCUCGCCCAGUGGGAGCCCCUCGGUGCCCCGGCUGCCGCCUCCGCCCCCUGCGCGCCACCCGAAGACAGGCCCGGGCCGCGUGACCCGUCCUCGCCCGCGGGCGCCGCGCCCUCCGCCUCCUGGAUCUGGGGCCCUCCAGCGGAACCCUCCGCCGACAGGGCCUAGGGACGCGGGCUCUGAGCCCGAGGGGAUUCUACGAGGCGGAGCGAGGGAGACGGGGUGGUUCCUGUGCCUGGUGUGCGAGGGGAUCGGCGCCAAGGCGGGCAUGCGGUUCCCGGGCUGCUGGUGCAGCACGCCGGCUCGGUCGCCCGGGCCAAGAGGCGGCUCACGCCGCCGCCCUGGGCUGCCUGCUCGGACAACGCCCUUUCCGGUAGAUUGUGACAACGAUGGCUCUUGUGAUCAAGCUGAGCACUUGGAUGAUUCUGAAAGUGCAGAAAUGGAGGUGGCCUAAUUUUUUUCUUCGUGCUAAGUUAGAGAUUCUUUCUUGGUCAGAAAGCUUAGAAAUACAUGUGAUCUGGUUUGAUGUAUGGAUAACCUGGAUGGUCAUUGUCAACGCCUGCGUCUAAUCUAGUUCGAUGCUCUGGUAUUGUUGAUGCUUGUUUUUAACAUCUAAAGCUGUAUUAAAAGUUCAGUUUUACUAUUUUUCAGCCGUCUGUUUUUAAUUUCGCUUCAGGUCAUUUUUUGGGCCGUUCGUUCCGUAUGAAUCUCAGUGCUGCUCUGUGUUCUGUGCGUGCGAGUCUGGGGCUUUGUUUGUUGUUGUUGGGCUUCUUUUCGUUUCCGGAUUUGCGGGUCGCUCAUUUUGGGCCCCGCCCGUCGUGCCGUGCUGCCUGCUCAUUUUUUUGCCGGAUUUUGCUUAGCUGAGGAGGGGAUUGGAAUGGGGCUGGGUUGCGGAAACAGGGAGGAAGCGGCAUCUCGCUCGUGAAUCAGUGGUAGGAGUUGGCUAGCGGCCAUGGAUUGCGGCGAGCUGCCGACGAGCAGCGCUGGUAGGAGGGAGGCGCGUGGUCCGGGAACGGCGGGAGGCAAGAGGGGUGUUGGUUUGGACAGGAGUUCUCCGGAGCUCUGCCGCCGUCAGUGAGUGGUGGGUGUGGGCGUGGGGUAGCAGUCAUGGUCUCCGGUCGGACGGAAGGUAUUGCCUGAUUUGCCCCUUCGCCUUCCUCUGUCUAAUUUGUGCCCAGUAGCUAAUUUUUCCUCUUUUCUUUUUCUUCGUCUAUGCGUGCAUCGUGUUUACUCAGAUCUCAGUUCCAUUUUUGAAGGCUGUUGUCAUCUGUGGUGGGCUAGCAAUUUUCAUGCGAUAGCAUAGCACAGGAAUAGCGCUUGGCAAAUCGUUUCUGAAAUUCUGCGUGUUCAACGUGUCUGAUUGGGGAGAAGGGGCCGAUUUCUUAUAUUUUCCAUAUAUGUGUUGCUCCUGUUGCUGCGAAUUGCGUUUUUACUGAUCUAAUUAGCUAUCAGUCAUGCUUCCAAAUCAUUUUUAUUGCUAGAACUACUGUUUGUUAAAGCACUAAAAGCUUUUGUACUGAUGUAAUCAGCUGUGUGUGGUACUGUUAACCAGAUUUGUUUUCAUUUUUUAGAGCCAUCGUAUGUUAGUAAAAACUGUAAGGUAGCUGAAACUGCAUCGCUCCUUAAAUGCGAUAAUGAGACGCUGUUAAUCAGCGCUUCUUUGCAUUAGAAUAUCCUAUUUUUUUUGUAAAACUGCAGGCCCUGAUGGAUGUGUCAGUUUAGUUUUCUUCAUUUUAGUUUUUCGUUUCUGCAGCGAGAUCUUAUGCAGGAUAAGUCAGGGAUAGUAGUAUGGGAUAAUCACUUCUGUAGGUUCAGGGAAUCAGGUUUUAUACUCGUUGGGGAUGUUGUUUGUAUAAUUUUAUCUUAUGCAAAAUAAGUUUGGAUUAUAUUAUGGGGCAAUUAGUUUUUGUAGGUUCAGCAAUCAGUUUUUGGGAUAAUAGAGUGGGAUAAUCAGUUUUUUAUGGCAUAACUAAUUGUGAACUGAUUAUCAGUGUAGUUUUAGUUUUUCCUGAGUUUUGUGUAGCCCAUCAUCUUUACUUUUCUGUAUCUUCUCCAUUUUAUUUUCAGUUUAGCUGCGAAAUAGGCAAUUAGUCAGCAUAUCAUGUUUUCACCUUGUUUUAUUCAGUAAUAUUUUAGUCUUAGAUAUUCCCCAGUGAUAUUCAUUCGUUCAGAUCAAUUUUUUUAGACUCUGAACGCAGAUGUAGGGGGGGGGGGGGAUUACAGACAAAUCUCUAGACUGAAACUUUUUUUGCCUACUGUAAUGACGCCCUUUUAGCGCUCUUUGGUCCGUAAUGCUUCAACUAUUUUCUGUCUACUUGCAGUUUUCUAUCGCUGCCAUCUUUUUACCUCCUACUUUUACUCAGCAUGCGGAUAUACUCAGGGGGCAGGCAGGGAUGCGUUCAGUGUGUACUCCCUCUAAUUUUCUUUCUUUGCACCGGAGUAUUUCAUUUGUAUCAGGUUAUCUUAUUUUCUUCUUUUUUAUUGGAUUAUUCAUUGUUCUUCUCAGGGCUGUCAAAGGCGUAAAAUGGGUUCUGUAAAUCACUUUAUCUUGUACCUUCAUUUGUUCCAUCAUUUGAUUAUUCAUCGAGCAUUUGCCACUGUAAAAUAUUAUCAUCGGGCUGUUGUUACCCUCAACACUAACUUUUUGCAACUAUCCUAAGUGAGCUGGCUUGCUACAUAUUUUCCUCUGUUUCUUCGUUUUGAUUUUGCUUUUCAUUCCUCAGCACUAUCAAUUGCUCCUAGUAUGUAUUCAUACUUCAUUCUACUCUUCGACCCCUUUGAAGCCAUGUGGAGCAGUCUCCUCAUGAGCAUGUUGUACCUCAGGCAGAGCGCUCUGGCCUUAUGGGUUCAGGCUCAUGUUUGUGCAACUUCUUAUCAUGCAUUGUUUAAUCAGGAUUUUGUUUUUGUUUUGAUCAGUCCAUCAUUAUUUAGUUUCUUAGUUUUAUUAGUCAUUCACUUUCUUCAUUUUCUUUAGAUUUACUUCAGUUUCUUAGUUUUUGUUUCAGUCUUAGUGAUGUUGUCUUGCUUAUUUCAGUUUUACUUUUUCACUUAGCCUUUGCCAUUUAGGUUUAGUUCUUUGUAUCAAUUUUCUUUUUUCAGUCUCUAAUUUUUUCUUAUUAUAGUUUAUUUCUGUUUAAUUUAUUUCAUUCCAUGUUCAGUCAGUCUAUAUGUGCAUGUGGGUUUAGUUCUCAGUACCAGUCUCCAUGUUUUCAUUUCUGUAUCAGUCAUCAGUCAGGUUUCUUUAAACAGGGAGUGGCAUGAUUCGCAUACUUCGUUGGUUCUGUUUCUCAUAGGUCUUUGUCACUAGUAUUUGAUAAGUAUUUUAUCAGUUUUUAGUUCAUCAUUCUUUCAGUUUUUUAGUUUUUCCAAUUCCCUAAGGAUCUCACUCUUUUUUCUGUUUUCUCUGGUUCUCAGUUUCAUCAGUUUGCUCUUCUUUAUUUUCCCAUCAUUUUGUUCAGUCUCUCUUUCUUAGUCUCUUAGGUUCCUAGUUUCAUUCUUCAUUUUUCUUAUCUAAUCUCUCUUUAGUUUUCUCAGUCUUGUUUAGCAUGUCACCCGCUUCUCUUCCUAGUCUCUUAUUUUGAUCUUGUUUCCAGUACCCAAAGGCAUAAACUGUGUUCAGUAGGUCCUUCCCUGUUCGCUUAGUUUUUGUUAUUUUCCACUCUCUACUUGCUUCUUCUUAGGCACCUCAUAUUUUAUAUCUCAUGUGCAGCAGCAAAUGAGUCUUCAUCCGUUUUGUUUCUAAAUGAUGGCUCCGUAAAUUUAAUUUAGCACACCUUUAUCUUCUAGUUGUUUUAUUCAAGUGUUUUUUAGCAUCAUGUUAUAUUUUUUUUACGGUGAAGCAACCUACACAUACAAGCAAGAAGAUCAUCAUAAAAACUAAAGGGGUGUUCGGAAUCUCUCCCGUCUGCUAACUCCACUCCGCGCGAGGAGCGCGGUCUGAGCCGCUCCCAGCAAUUGUGCUGGCGCUCCAUCCGCUCCGCGAGCUGCUGUGGCGGAGCGGAGAGUAUCCGAACAGGGCUUAAACAUCUUGUUAUUGUUUUUUAUGCUCAAUAUCAGAAGUGCUACUAGCAGCCAAGUUGUAACCCUUUUUCUUUUUUAUUCUUGUUCCAUAGUCAAUCUAGAUUAUCAAUUUGAUCAUGUUUUAUAAUUUUGGUCAGUCAUCCUUUCUUGAUCAUAGUCAAUUAUUGUUAACCAUCAUGUUCUAGUGUUGUUUUCUUAGUGUGUGGAGACAGAUUUUUUAGAUAUGCUUUGCUUCAUAUUUUUUAUGGUAUACCCAGCAAUCAUAUUUCUUUUAGAUAGAGUAUGAUCAACCUAGGUUAUGUAUAUGCAGUCUAGUUUUUUUUGGGGAAUGGCAAGCCACCUCUGUUUGUUCAUUUUUUAGUUGUCGGUAGCAGCAAACUUCUUAUGUUGUACCCCACAAAAAGGCCCGCGGGAUUUUCUUUGUGCAUUCUUGCUUUUUGUGUACGACUGGCAAAUCUCUUUUUUUCAUCAUGCCCAACAGAUGGAGUGCCAAGUCAGUCUUAUUGCGCAAACUGCUAAUCUACGGGCGCAUCAUUUGGGGGUUUUCUAGCAGGGGACUUUGAAAUAUCAGUGCGCAGGCCUCCAGAAGCUCCAGUGCAUAGCGGACGGCUAAAGCGUGUGGAGAAUGUUAAGAGAGGGCGGGGUAGACCGAAUUUGACAUGGGAGGAGUCCGUUAAGAAAGAUCUGAAGGAUUGGAGUAUCACCAAAGAGCUAGCUAUGGACAGGGGUGCGUGAAAGCUUGUUAUCCAUGUGCCAAAGCCAUGAGUUGGUUGCAAGAUUUUAUGAGUUUCACCUCUAGCCUACCUUAACUUGUUUGGGACUAAAGGCUUUGUUGUUGUUGUUGCUGCUGUUGCUGCUGCUGCUGCUGCUGCUGCUGCUUGUAUGUCUGAAUUAGAGAAGUUAUUUAUUUGUUGAUGUACGUACUAGUUAGUUCUGUUGAUGUAUUAGUCUGGUUAAGUUCAAUGGUAGUUUUCCUCGGCCUUUUCCAGGAUUCA